GUCCAAUCCUAACCCCCACGCUCCUCAACUGCUCACGUGGCAAGUUGUCUCCCAGGGAAACAAGACUGAGAAUGUUGAUGAUUUAAUGAAAAUCCUUCCUCCUGCUGGGAAAAUAAUUCAGAAUCUCUCUAAAUGUAAGAGCAAAAUAUUUCAUUUUGAUGAAGUCCAAGGAGUGUUUUUCUCCCAUGGGUUGUGCUUUCCAUGUCAACUUUAUUUUUUGUG